rnacentral:rRNA from 1 species
UACGUAGGGUGCAGGCGUUAAUCGGAAUUACUGGGCGUAAAGCGUGCGCAGGCGGUUUGCUAAGACAGGUGUGAAAUCCCCGAGCUUAACUUGGGAACUGCGCUUGUAACUGGCAAGCUAGAGUGCGGCAGAGGGGGGUGGAAUUCCACGUGUAGCAGUGAAAUGCGUAGAGAUGUGGAGGAACACCGAUGGCGAAGGCAGCCCCCUGGGUCGACACUGACGCUCAUGCACGAAAGCGUGGGGAGCAAACAGG